UACAGAGGGUGCGAGCGUUAAUCGGAAUUACUGGGCGUAAAGCGCGCGUAGGCGGCUUUUCAAGUCGAUUGUGAAAUCCCCGGGCUUAACCUGGGAACUGCAGUCGAGACUGUCUAGCUAGAGUAUGGGAGAGGGAAGUUGAAUUUCAGGUGUAGCGGUGAAAUGCGUAGAUAUCUGAAGGAACAUCAGUGGCGAAAGCGACUUCCUGGACCAAUACUGACGCUCAUGUGCGAAAGCGUGGGGAGCAAACAGG
rnacentral:rRNA from 1 species